UCAAACGCACGACGUUGAACGUUCUAGUCCCGCUCCCUACUCGCUGCGCCACGCUAGCUACUUGAGCUUCGCUCCUACUUAAACGGUACUCUAAACGCACGGAAAACUUUCAACUGCGGUUUCUCGUAAAUUAGUGCUCAUUGGCAACAGUUAUACGAGCUGCUUUUACAGGAAAGAGAUUACUACAACAUAUAUAAAGAUUAGCAAAAUCUAAGGCGGCGCUUUUGGACAGUCUCCUUGUUAGCUGACGAUUGUCAGUGACGACCGCUGUCACACGGAUAAACGGAACGUCUCUGUGUGCGUAAGUGCAGGGAGAAAAAUGCUUGCGUGUCCGGGCUCGCGAGUAUAGGAAAGGAACAUUUGAUGUUCAACGCUCGCCCCAGUCGGAUCAAGAUAAAUCAACGAUGACAACGUUGGCGACAACGACGGCGGCGUCGGCGACAAGCGACACGAUUACGAUGCAU